AACGAACGCUGGCGGCAUGCCUAACACAUGCAAGUCGAACGAGACCUUCGGGUCUAGUGGCGCACGGGUGCGUAACGCGUGGGAAUCUGCCCCUGGGUCUGGAAUAACAGUUAGAAAUGACUGCUAAUACCGGAUGAUGACUUCGGUCCAAAGAUUUAUCGCCCAGGGAUGAGCCCGCGUAGGAUUAGCUUGUUGGUGAGGUAAAAGCUCACCAAGGCGACGAUCCUUAGCUGGUCUGAGAGGAUGAUCAGCCACACUGGGACUGAGACACGGCCCAGACUCCUACGGGAGGCAGCAGUGGGGAAUAUUGGACAAUGGGCGAAAGCCUGAUCCAGCAAUGCCGCGUGAGUGAUGAAGGCCUUAGGGUUGUAAAGCUCUUUUACCCGGGAUGAUAAUGACAGUACCGGGAGAAUAAGCCCCGGCUAACUCCGUGCCAGCAGCCGCGGUAACAC
rnacentral:rRNA from 1 species